rnacentral:RNase_P_RNA from 15 species
UAUAUUAAGCAAAGAUACAUGCAUACUACGAACGAAAAAAAAAAAAAAAUCGGCUAAUUUGCACUUCUAAGCUUGGGGGCCUGGCUAGGUAUUUUUUUUUUUUUUUUCUUUUCUUUUCUUUUCUAAUUUCUUUCAGCAGACCUUUUUUUUCCCUAUACAUGUAUACGCCCCAAAAAAAAAAAAAAAAAAAAAAAGAGAUUUCUCCCGUUUUUU